UGCAAGUCGAACGAACUCUGGUAUUGAUUGGUGCUUGCAUCAUGAUUUACAUUUGAGUGAGUGGCGAACUGGUGAGUAACACGUGGGAAACCUGCCCAGAAGCGGGGGAUAACACCUGGAAACAGAUGCUAAUACCGCAUAACAACUUGGACCGCAUGGUCCGAGUUUGAAAGAUGGCUUCGGCUAUCACUUUUGGAUGGUCCCGCGGCGUAUUAGCUAGAUGGUGGGGUAACGGCUCACCAUGGCAAUGAUACGUAGCCGACCUGAGAGGGUAAUCGGCCACAUUGGGACUGAGACACGGCCCAAACUCCUACGGGAGGCAGCAGUAGGGAAUCUUCCACAAUGGACGAAAGUCUGAUGGAGCAACGCCGCGUGAGUGAAGAAGGGUUUCGGCUCGUAAAACUCUGUUGUUAAAGAAGAACAUAUCUGAAAGUAACUGUUCAGGUAUUGACGGUAUUUAACCAGAAAGCCACGGCUAACUACGUGCCAGCAGCCGCGGUAAUACGUAGGUGGCAAGCGUUGUCCGGAUUUAUUGGGCGUAAAGCGAGCGCAGGCGGUUUUUUAAGUCUGAUGUGAAAGCCUUCGGCUCAACCGAAGAAGUGCAUCGGAAACUGGGAAACUUGAGUGCAGAAGAGGACAGUGGAACUCCAUGUGUAGCGGUGAAAUGCGUAGAUAUAUGGAAGAACACCAGUGGCGAAGGCGGCUGUCUGGUCUGUAACUGACGCUGAGGCUCGAAAGUAUGGGUAGCAAACAGGAUUAGAUACCCUGGUAGUCCAUACCGUAAACGAUGAAUGCUAAGUGUUGGAGGGUUUCCGCCCUUCAGUGCUGCAGCUAACGCAUUAAGCAUUCCGCCUGGGGAGUACGGCCGCAAGGCUGAAACUCAAAGGAAUUGACGGGGGCCCGCACAAGCGGUGGAGCAUGUGGUUUAAUUCGAAGCUACGCGAAGAACCUUACCAGGUCUUGACAUACUAUGCAAAUCUAAGAGAUUAGACGUUCCCUUCGGGGACAUGGAUACAGGUGGUGCAUGGUUGUCGUCAGCUCGUGUCGUGAGAUGUUGGGUUAAGUCCCGCAACGAGCGCAACCCUUAUUAUCAGUUGCCAGCAUUAAGUUGGGCACUCUGGUGAGACUGCCGGUGACAAACCGGAGGAAGGUGGGGAUGACGUCAAAUCAUCAUGCCCCUUAUGACCUGGGCUACACACGUGCUACAAUGGAUGGUACAACGAGUUGCGAACUCGCGAGAGUAAGCUAAUCUCUUAAAGCCAUUCUCAGUUCGGAUUGUAGGCUGCAACUCGCCUACAUGAAGUCGGAAUCGCUAGUAAUCGCGGAUCAGCAUGCCGCGGUGAAUACGUUCCCGGGCCUUGUACACACCGCCCGUCACACCAUGAGAGUUUGUAACACCCAAAGUCGGUGGGGUAACCUUUUAGGAACCA
rnacentral:rRNA from 1 species